GACGUAGGGGGCCAGCGUUGUUCGGAAUUACUGGGUGUAAAGGGUUCGUAGGCGGUGUGGCAAGUCGGGAGUGAAAUCUCUGGGCUCAACCCAGAGUCUGCUUCCGAAACUGCUGUGCUUGAGUGUGGGAGAGGCGCGUGGAAUUCCACGUGUAGCGGUGAAAUGCGUAGAGAUGUGGAGGAACACCAGUGGCGAAGGCGACUCUUUGGUCUGUAACUGACGCUGAGGCGCGAAAGCGUGGGGAGCAAACAGG
rnacentral:rRNA from 1 species